rnacentral:misc_RNA from 1 species
UACAGAGGGUGUGAGCGUUAAUCGGAUUUACUGGGCGUAAAGCGUGCGUAGGCGGCUGUGUAAGUCGGAUGUGAAAUCCCCGAGCUUAACGUGGGAAGCGCAUUCGAAACUGGGAGGCUAGAGUAUGGGAGAGGAUAGUAGAAUUCCAGGUGUAGCGGUGAAAUGCGUAGAGAUCUGGAGGAAUACCGAUGGCGAAGGCAGCCAUCUGGCCUAAUACUGACGCUGAGGUACGAAAGCAUGGGGAGCAAACAGG